AUGUUCAUCAAACAAACUAUAUGGAUGCAAGCAUCAAUUCCCAGCUAGAGGCUACUGAUUAUGUGGUUCCAUCACCAAAUGGAGAGAUAGAGGAAUUGUCAUCUCAGUUUCAUGAGGCGCUUAGAGUGGAUCCCCUUGAUAUUGACAAUGACACUAAGGAGAAGGAAGGCAAACCUGUAACUAGUCACUGUGUGGACUACAGAAAUGCAAAGAU